GCUGGAACACCGAAAUACCUCUGUCACUUCAGCGCUCCUGGUUAUGUCAGUAGCUGCAUAUCAAAUGAAGAGGUGGAGGCUAACUUGAUUUACAUCUCUGUUGCUAUGACGCAGAAAACCACAACCGUCGGGGACAAAAUAACAAGCGAAAGGAGCGGCCAAGGGCUGAGGUGCCAGGGAAGGCCUGAGGAUGCAGGCAGGGAUGGAUAUGUGAGGUUGGCAGUUCCACGCAGCUGAGCGUCCAGCAUUCUCCCUUCCAUCCAGCAUCUCCAUGUGGUUUGAAUAGACAACAGACAAUGGGAAAACAAUGAUUCUGCCAUGCUGUUUCCAGGCCCACCCAGCUAAUUGGCAUACACGAUGAGGCGGCUCCUGAAAGUUCGACCGUGGGGCAGGGGAUUCCAGUACCUGAUUGACGGGGAGGGUUAUGGCCCGGAGGAGAGGUGAUGGGUCCCCGCUAGGGACAUCCUGGACCCAGGCCUCAUCACUGAGUUUCAACGCCGGCACCCCGGUCAACCAGUUUUCCCAGUUUUGACCAUUCUGCCUGGCCUGACCUUGAGCCUGCCUGCCGUUAUGUACCUUAUCACACCACCCUGGAUUACUGACCUCUCCCUGCCCUGACCCUGAGCCUGCCUGCUGUUCUGUACCUUUCGGACUCUGCUCUGGAUUACUGACCUCUGCCUGCCUUUGACCUGUCGUUAUGCCUGCCCC
rnacentral:lncRNA from 1 species